GCGGAGAUAGCACCGCCGGGCGGUGAGACCUUCUAUGAUUACACUACCACGCGCUUAAAGGGUACCCCAAGGGGUGAAGAUGGAAUCGCAGCCACUGUUGUGCAGUACAACCCACCGUCGGGCGGUGGACUCGUCGAUGGAAUUUAAAGAGAACGCUCAAGCGACAACGUUGCGGGGUGGAUUAGGUAUCAUGCCUACCGUCAGAUGGUUUACUUAUGGGCCUGGGC
rnacentral:lncRNA from 1 species